CGGGCCGAGCACCAACAGCGGCGCCUCCGGCACGGACGCGUCCGCUUCCGGCCCAGCCGGGCCCAGCGCCCGUUCCAGCGCUGCCGCCAUUCGGCCGUGGCCAAUCUCUGCCUCCGUUCCGCGGGGAGCGGCCAAUGGGAGCUCGGAGCCCCUCAGCCAAUCGGGGAGCGGCUUCCCUCAGCGCUGCUCCCGCCCACCGCGCGCCUCAACCAAUCGGAGGGGAGAGUCCCGCGGAGCCGCUCCCGCCCGCCGUGCUCUCCUCAGCCAAUCGGAGAGGAGCAUCUCUCAGCCCACGGCGCGCGCCUCAGCCAACCAGAAGAGGCUCCCUCCCGCUCCCGCCCACCGCGCGCGUCUCAGCCAAUCGGAGGGCACGAAAAGGAGGGCGGGAUGCCCGUCCCGCGCGCCGUCCCCCUCCUCGCUUUUCAUUGGCCGCUCCAGCCGCCAAUCCAGCACCGCCCCGUCUCCCGACGCGCUUCAAAGCCCCGCCCCUUCCCGCUCCGCUCAGCCAAUAGGGAGGCGGUACCCGGCAGGGGGGGGCGUGCCCGGAGCUGUCAGUCACUCCCCGCUGCCUGGCAACGCGUUGCUUGGCGACGGCGGGCUGUUGCCGGGCAACGGGGCGAGUUGGGCGCGGCUCCGCGCAUGCGCAGACGAGACGGGACGCACGAUGUGCACCAGGAGGCGCAGGGAUGGAUGAUGCACAGGGAUGCAUGAGGCUGCAGGGCUUGCACGAGGAUGCACGAGGGUGCACGAGGAGGCGCCGGGUUGCACGACAAUGCACGGGUGUGAGCACACGAGGAUGCACCGGAGAGCAUAAGAAUGCAUGGGGUUGGGGGGCAUGAGGGAUGUGCAGCGUUGCACGGGGAUUCACAGGGAUGGAUGCACGGGGGGGCUGCGGGAUGCAAGAGGGGUGCACGAGGAUGCACGGCGGUGCACGAGGAUGCAUGCACGGGAUGCACGAGGGUGCACAGUGUUGCACAGCGUCGCACGAGGAUGCACGGUGUCGCACGAGGAUGCACGGGGUUGCACAAGGAUGCACGGUGUUGCAUGAGGGUGCAUGCACGAGGUUGCACAGUGUUGCACAGCAUCACACAAGGAUGCACGGGGUUGCACAAGGAUGCACGGGGGUGCACGCGCGUGCACAGCAUUGCACGAUGCAUGAGGAUGGAUGCACAGUGACGCAUGGUGGCUCAUGGUCAGGGUGCAAAAUGGUGCACGAGGGUGCCCGGGGUUACACGAGGAUGCACGAGGGUGCGUGGGGAUGCACGUGGAGGAUGCACUUGGUGCACAACGGUGCACGCGGACGGACGCACGAGGGUGCAGAGGGCGGCACAAGGAUGCAAGGGGGUGCACAAGAUUGGAUGCACGGGGAUGCACGAGGAUGGAUGCAUGAGGCGGCACGAGGAUGCACGGGGAUGUGCAAGGAUGCUCAGAGUUGCACGAGGUUGCACGGGGAGGCACGGGGAUGCACAAGUGUGCAGAGGACACACGGGGACACGUGUGGGCAGCCGAAGUCGCCCAGCCCGGUGCACACGGUUGCACGAGGCCGCGUGCCAUUGCACCAGGAUGCACGAGGAUGCAUGGCGAGGCACGGCGUGGCACGGGGAGGCACGAGGCUGCACGGGGAUACAAGGGCGUGCACGGGGGUGGGUGCACGAGGGUGCAAGAGGUUGCACGAGGGCGCAGAGCACACACGGGGACGGCUGCAGAGGGACACCCGAGGACGCCCAAAGCUUCACGGGGACGCCCGCGGGCUCACGAGGAUGCACGGCCCCGUGCACGGGGAUGCACGAGGAUGCACGAGAGGAUGCACGAGGAGGCCGGCUCGGGGCGUCCCCUCGGCUACGCGUAUUCUCCAGCAAUAACAGCGCGGCCGUGUUAUCCGCCCGAGAAUACCCGUCACCGCGGGGCGCGGGGGGGGCAUCCGGGGGGGGGGGGGUGGGGGGGGAUUGAGGGGGGAAAGGGGGGAGGGGAGGGGAGGAGGAGGAGGGGGGAUUCGAACCCGCGGACGGGGGAAGCCCUGGGCGGGGCCUCGAGAGCCGCCGGGUGGGGAUUCAGCACCACGGACAGCGGCAAUGCUGCUCUAAUGGGGGCUGUGGGGGUUCUAUAGGGAUCUAUAGGGGUCUAUGGGGGACCAUAGGGGUUCUAUGAGGUCUAUGGGGGCUCUAUGGGGGACUAGAGGGGUUCUAUAGGGGUCUUUGUGUCUCAGCAGCAUGGACAGUGGCAAUGGGGCUGUAAAGUGGGCUGUGGGGGUUCUAUAGGGAUCUAUAGGGGUCUAUGGGGGACCAUAGGGGUUCUAUGAGGUCUAUGGGGACUCUAUGGGGGACUAUAGGGGUUCUAUAGUGGUCUAUGGGGCUCAGCACCACGGACAGCGGCAAUGCUGCUCUAAUGGGGGCUGUGGGGGUUCUAUAGGGGUCUGUGGGGCCCUAUAGGGGUCUAUAGAGGUCUAUGGAGCACUAUAGGAGUACUAUAGGGGUCUAUGCGGUUCAGCACCACGGACAGUGGCAAAUGGGGGCUCUAAUGGGGGCUGUGGGGGUUCUAUAGGGGUCUGUGGGGGUCUGUGGGGGACUAUAGGGGUAUUAUGG
ensembl:lncRNA